rnacentral:rRNA from 1 species
CGGUGGAGGUAUGUGGUUUAAUUCGAUGCAACGCGAAGAACCUUACCUGGUCUUGACAUCCCGGAGACCCUUAGGAAACUAGGGGUGCUUCCAUCUGGAAGAAUCUGGAGACAGGUGCUGCAUGGCUGUCGUCAGCUCGUGUCGUGAGAUGUUGGGUUAAGUCCCGCAACGAGCGCAACCCUUGCCUUUAGUUGCCAGCAGUUCGGCUGGGCACUCUAAAGGGACUGCCGGUGUUAAACCGGAGGAAGGUGGGGAUGACGUCAAGUCCUCAUGGCCUUUAUGACCAGGGCUACACACGUACUACAAUGGCCGAUACAAAGGGCAGCGACACUGCGAGGUGAAGCCAAUCCCGUAAAAUCGGUCUCAGUCCGGAUUGGAGUCUGCAACUCGACUCCAUGAAGUUGGAAUCGCUAGUAAUCGUGGAUCAGCAUGCCACGGUGAAUACGUUCCCGGGCCUU